rnacentral:rRNA from 1 species
AUUGAACGCUGGCGGCAGGCCUAACACAUGCAAUUCGAACGAGUGGCGGACGGGUGAGUAAUGUCUGGGAAACUGCCUGAUGGAGGGGGAUAACUACUGGAAACGGUAGCUAAUACCGCAUACCAUCGGAUGUGCCCAGAUGGGAUUAGCUAGUAGGUGGGGUAACGGCUCACCUAGGCGACGAACCCUAGCUGGUCUGAGAGGAUGACCAGCGACACUGGAACUGAGACACAGUCCAGACUACUACGGGAGGCAGCAGUGGGGAAUAUUGCACAAUGGGCGCAAGCCUGGUGAAGCCAUGCCGCGUGUAUGAAGAAGGCCUUCGGGUUGUAAAGUACUUUCAGCGAGGAGGCGUUGCUCGCAGAAGAGGCGCCGGCUAACUCCGUGCCAGCAGCCACGGUAAUUC